rnacentral:rRNA from 1 species
GAUGAACGCUGGCGGCGUGCCUAAUACAUGCAAGUCGAGCGAACAGACGAGGCUCUUGCUCCUCUGACGUUAGCGGCGGACGUGUGAGUAACACGUGUAUAACCUACCUAUAAGACUGGGAUAACUUCGGGAAACCGGAGCAAAUCGCGUAUAAUAUACUGAAGCAUAUGGUUCAAUAGUGAAAUACGGCUUUUCUGGCACUUAUAGAUGCAUCCGCGCCGGAUUAGUUAGUGUGGAAGGUAACGGCUUAGCAAGGCGGCUGUGCGUAGCCGACCUGCGAGGGUGGUAGGCCACACGGGAACUGAGACACGGACCAGACUCCUACGAGAGGCAGCAGUAGGGAAUCGGCCGCAGUGGGCGAGAGCCUGACGGAGCAACGCCGCGUGAGUGAUGAAGGUCUUCGGAUCGUAAAACUCUGUUAUUGGUGAAAAACAAAUGUGUAAGUAGCUAUGGACGGCUUGACGGUACCGAAUCAGAAAGCCCCGGCUAACUACGUG